GGUUUACACAACUCCUCCUUAUAUCUGACAAAGCACUGUCCCCCAUAGGCUCCCGUUUCUCUCUUUCCAUCUUGCAACGGAAAGGACUUUGACGUUGUCUUCUUCCGCUCCUCUGUUGAUAGCAAAUGUUACGACUGCUAACGGUGGGAAGAUAAAGCACUUGAAGGAAGUGCUUCGGCAUACAUUACGCGAGGGACAAUACAGUACUUCGAGGAAGCAAUCUGGUUUUCGAAAAGAGUUCAUCAGGUCUUGGUUGGCGCUUCAUAAUUUAAAUGGGAUGGAAAAUAUUCAGGAGAUCAAUGACGGAGAGAAUCGUUCAGCAAUCAGCAGAAACCCUUGCACCUGAAACUCACCUCCGCCACGGUCACCUCACGGCUCCGCCUCUGCCACGGUCACCUGCAGCUCGCGCACGCCGCCUUCGUCAAAGACUUGUCUCUGCUGCAUCUCAAGAUUUUCUUCCUCGUUUCUGGACUUUCUUUUUAAUGGACUAUUGGGACCUUCAAUCGAAGGACAGAGGACUCGAUCGUCGAGUCCUCUGAGCUUCAAUCGAAGGCCAGGUGACUCGAACCGAAGCACAUUGAAGGUGGCGGCGGGGGGCUCAGGCAACGGUGGAGGGAGACGCCGGGAGUAGCAGAGGUGACGGUUGUGGUGGCAGAAGACGCGGUGGGGGCGGCAGAGGAUGCGGUGCUGGUGGUAGAGGAGGCGGGUAAAGUUUUUGUUUUUGGGAGAAGGCUGAGAUGAAGAAGAUGAGGGUAGUUUUGUAAUUUUAUUUUGUUCAGAUGGUCAUCUUGGUGGCGAUCCACAUAGCACUCUCUCCCUUAGUCAAUAUGGAUUACCCCACUAAAUGUAAUGGAGAUUACCAAUGCAAGAUAGAUUGCCUCUUAGAAAGUGUCACCAAAUAAGGUAAUGUGUGGGCCCAAGCAAUUUAAAUGUAAAAUUGCCUGCAAUUCUCCUAGGGUAAUACAUACCAAAAGCCUUCUAAGGGAUGGGAACAUGAAUUCUCACAUUGAUGGGAAUAUACAUUACUAGUAAUAUAGUUGCUGGGAAUCCAACAAACAUCUCCUAAGGGAAGAUAUAG